UACGGGGGGGGCAAGCGUUGUUCGGAAUUACUGGGCGUAAAGGGCUCGUAGGCGGCCAACUAAGUCCGACGUGAAAUCCCCAGGCUUAACCUGGGAACUGCGUCGGAUACUGGUUGGCUUGAAUCCGGGAGAGGGAUGCGGAAUUCCAGGUGUAGCGGUGAAAUGCGUAGAUAUCUGGAGGAACACCGGUGGCGAAGGCGGCAUCCUGGACCGGCAUUGACGCUGAAAAGCGAAAGCCAGGGGAGCAAACGGG
rnacentral:rRNA from 1 species